GUAAAGGACUGGGGCCCCGCAACUGGCCUCUCCUGCCCUCUUAAGCGCAGCGCCAUUUUAGCAACGCAGAAGCCCGGCGCCGGGAAGCCUCAGCUCGCCUGAAGGCAGGUCCCCUCUGACGCCUCCGGGAGCCCAGGUUUCCCAGAGUCCUUGGGACGCAGCGACGAGUUGUGCUGCUAUCUUAGCUGUCCUUAUAGGCUGGCCAUUCCAGGUGGUGGUAUUUAGAUAAAACCACUCAAACUCUGCAGUUUGGUCUUGGGGUUUGGAGGAAAGCUUUUAUUUUUCUUCCUGCUCCGGUUCAGAAGGUCUGAAGCUCAUACCUAACCAGGCAUAACACAGAAUCUGCAAAACAAAAACCCCUAAAAAAGCAGACCCAGAGCAGUGUAAACACUUCUGGGUGUGUCCCUGACUGGCUGCCCAAGGUCUCUGUGUCUUCGGAGACAAAGCCAUUCGCUUAGUUGGUCUACUUUAAAAGGCCACUUGAACUCGCUUUCCAUGGCGAUUUGCCUUGUGAGCACUUUCAGGAGAGCCUGGAAGCUGAAAAACGGUAGAAAAAUUUCCGUGCGGGCCGUGGGGGGCUGGCGGCAACUGGGGGGCCGCAGAUCAGAGUGGGCCACUGGCAGCCAACGGCCCCCGGGGCUCAGGCGGGGAGCAGCUCUGUGGUGUGGGAUUGAGGCGUUUUCCAAGAGUGGGUUUUCACGUUUCUAAGAUUUCCCAAGCAGACAGCCCGUGCUGCUCCGAUUUCUCGAACAAAAAAGCAAAACGUGUGGCUGUCUUGGGAGCAAGUCGCAGGACUGCAAGCAGUUGGGGGAGAAAGUCCGCCAUUUUGCCACUUCUCAACCGUCCCUGCAAGGCUGGGGCUCAGUUGCGUAAUGGAAAGUAAAGCCCUGAACUAUCACACUUUAAUCUUCCUUCAAAAGGUGGUAAACUAUACCUACUGUCCCUCAAGAGAACACAAGAAGUGCUUUAAGAGGUAUUUUAAAAGUUCCGGGGGUUUUGUGAGGUGUUUGAUGACCCGUUUAAAAUAUGAUUUCCAUGUUUCUUUUGUCUAAAGUUUGCAGCUCAAAUCUUUCCACACGCUAGUAAUUUAAGUAUUUCUGCAUGUGUAGUUUGCAUUCAAGUUCCAUAAGCUGUUAAGAAAAAUCUAGAAAAGUAAAACUAGAACCUAUUUUUAACCGAAGAACUACUUUUUGCCUCCCUCACAAAGGCGGCGGAAGGUGAUCGAAUUCCGGUGAUGCGAGUUGUUCUCCGUCUAUAAAUACGCCUCGCCCGAGCUGUGCGGUAGGCAUUGAGGCAGCCAGCGCAGGGGCUUCUGCUGAGGGGGCAGGCGGAGCUUGAGGAAACCGCAGAUAAGUUUUUUUCUCUUUGAAAGAUAGAGAUUAAUACAACUACUUAAAAAAUAUAGUCAAUAGGUUACUAAGAUAUUGCUUAGCGUUAAGUUUUUAACGUAAUUUUAAUAGCUUAAGAUUUUAAGAGAAAAUAUGAAGACUUAGAAGAGUAGCAUGAGGAAGGAAAAGAUAAAAGGUUUCUAAAACAUGACGGAGGUUGAGAUGAAGCUUCUUCAUGGAGUAAAAAAUGUAUUUAAAAGAAAAUUGAGAGAAAGGACUACAGAGCCCCGAAUUAAUACCAAUAGAAGGGCAAUGCUUUUAGAUUAAAAUGAAGGUGACUUAAACAGCUUAAAGUUUAGUUUAAAAGUUGUAGGUGAUUAAAAUAAUUUGAAGGCGAUCUUUUAAAAAGAGAUUAAACCGAAGGUGAUUAAAAGACCUUGAAAUCCAUGACGCAGGGAGAAUUGCGUCAUUUAAAGCCUAGUUAACGCAUUUACUAAACGCAGACGAAAAUGGAAAGAUUAAUUGGGAGUGGUAGGAUGAAACAAUUUGGAGAAGAUAGAAGUUUGAAGUGGAAAACUGGAAGACAGAAGUACGGGAAGGCGAAGAAAAGAAUAGAGAAGAUAGGGAAAUUAGAAGAUAAAAACAUACUUUUAGAAGAAAAAAGAUAAAUUUAAACCUGAAAAGUAGGAAGCAGAAGAAAAAAGACAAGCUAGGAAACAAAAAGCUAAGGGCAAAAUGUACAAACUUAGAAGAAAAUUGGAAGAUAGAAACAAGAUAGAAAAUGAAAAUAUUGUCAAGAGUUUCAGAUAGAAAAUGAAAAACAAGCUAAGACAAGUAUUGGAGAAGUAUAGAAGAUAGAAAAAUAUAAAGCCAAAAAUUGGAUAAAAUAGCACUGAAAAAAUGAGGAAAUUAUUGGUAACCAAUUUAUUUUAAAAGCCCAUCAAUUUAAUUUCUGGUGGUGCAGAAGUUAGAAGGUAAAGCUUGAGAAGAUGAGGGUGUUUACGUAGACCAGAACCAAUUUAGAAGAAUACUUGAAGCUAGAAGGGGAAGUUGGUUAAAAAUCACAUCAAAAAGCUACUAAAAGGACUGGUGUAAUUUAAAAAAAACUAAGGCAGAAGGCUUUUGGAAGAGUUAGAAGAAUUUGGAAGGCCUUAAAUAUAGUAGCUUAGUUUGAAAAAUGUGAAGGACUUUCGUAACGGAAGUAAUUCAAGAUCAAGAGUAAUUACCAACUUAAUGUUUUUGCAUUGGACUUUGAGUUAAGAUUAUUUUUUAAAUCCUGAGGACUAGCAUUAAUUGACAGCUGACCCAGGUGCUACACAGAAGUGGAUUCAGUGAAUCUAGGAAGACAGCAGCAGACAGGAUUCCAGGAACCAGUGUUUGAUGAAGCUAGGACUGAGGAGCAAGCGAGCAAGCAGCAGUUCGUGGUGAAGAUAGGAAAAGAGUCCAGGAGCCAGUGCGAUUUGGUGAAGGAAGCUAGGAAGAAGGAAGGAGCGCUAACGAUUUGGUGGUGAAGCUAGGAAAAAGGAUUCCAGGAAGGAGCGAGUGCAAUUUGGUGAUGAAGGUAGCAGGCGGCUUGGCUUGGCAACCACACGGAGGAGGCGAGCAGGCGUUGUGCGUAGAGGAUCCUAGACCAGCAUGCCAGUGUGCCAAGGCCACAGGGAAAGCGAGUGGUUGGUAAAAAUCCGUGAGGUCGGCAAUAUGUUGUUUUUCUGGAACUUACUUAUGGUAACCUUUUAUUUAUUUUCUAAUAUAAUGGGGGAGUUUCGUACUGAGGUGUAAAGGGAUUUAUAUGGGGACGUAGGCCGAUUUCCGGGUGUUGUAGGUUUCUCUUUUUCAGGCUUAUACUCAUGAAUCUUGUCUGAAGCUUUUGAGGGCAGACUGCCAAGUCCUGGAGAAAUAGUAGAUGGCAAGUUUGUGGGUUUUUUUUUUUUACACGAAUUUGAGGAAAACCAAAUGAAUUUGAUAGCCAAAUUGAGACAAUUUCAGCAAAUCUGUAAGCAGUUUGUAUGUUUAGUUGGGGUAAUGAAGUAUUUCAGUUUUGUGAAUAGAUGACCUGUUUUUACUUCCUCACCCUGAAUUCGUUUUGUAAAUGUAGAGUUUGGAUGUGUAACUGAGGCGGGGGGGAGUUUUCAGUAUUUUUUUUUGUGGGGGUGGGGGCAAAAUAUGUUUUCAGUUCUUUUUCCCUUAGGUCUGUCUAGAAUCCUAAAGGCAAAUGACUCAAGGUGUAACAGAAAACAAGAAAAUCCAAUAUCAGGAUAAUCAGACCACCACAGGUUUACAGUUUAUAGAAACUAGAGCAGUUCUCACGUUGAGGUCUGUGGAAGAGAUGUCCAUUGGAGAAAUGGCUGGUAGUUACUCUUUUUUCCCCCCACCCCCUUAAUCAGACUUUAAAAGUGCUUAACCCCUUAAACUUGUUAUUUUUUACUUGAAGCAUUUUGGGAUGGUCUUAACAGGGAAGAGAGAGGGUGGGGGAGAAAAUGUUUUUUUCUAAGAUUUUCCACAGAUGCUAUAGUACUAUUGACAAACUGGGUUAGAGAAGGAGUGUACCGCUGUGCUGUUGGCACGAACACCUUCAGGGACUGGAGCUGCUUUUAUCCUUGGAAGAGUAUUCCCAGUUGAAGCUGAAAAGUACAGCACAGUGCAGCUUUGGUUCAUAUUCAGUCAUCUCAGGAGAACUUCAGAAGAGCUUGAGUAGGCCAAAUGUUGAAGUUAAGUUUUCCAAUAAUGUGACUUCUUAAAAGUUUUAUUAAAGGGGAGGGGCAAAUAUUGGCAAUUAGUUGGCAGUGGCCUGUUACGGUUGGGAUUGGUGGGGUGGGUUUAGGUAAUUGUUUAGUUUAUGAUUGCAGAUAAACUCAUGCCAGAGAACUUAAAGUCUUAGAAUGGAAAAAGUAAAGAAAUAUCAACUUCCAAGUUGGCAAGUAACUCCCAAUGAUUUAGUUUUUUUCCCCCCAGUUUGAAUUGGGAAGCUGGGGGAAGUUAAAUAUGAGCCACUGGGUGUACCAGUGCAUUAAUUUGGGCAAGGAAAGUGUCAUAAUUUGAUACUGUAUCUGUUUUCCUUCAAAGUAUAGAGCUUUUGGGGAAGGAAAGUAUUGAACUGGGGGUUGGUCUGGCCUACUGGGCUGACAUUAACUACAAUUAUGGGAAAUGCAAAAGUUGUUUGGAUAUGGUAGUGUGUGGUUCUCUUUUGGAAUUUUUUUCAGGUGAUUUAAUAAUAAUUUAAAACUACUAUAGAAACUGCAGAGCAAAGGAAGUGGCUUAAUGAUCCUGAAGGGAUUUCUUCUGAUGGUAGCUUUUGUAUUAUCAAGUAAGAUUCUAUUUUCAGUUGUGUGUAAGCAAGUUUUUUUUUAGUGUAGGAGAAAUACUUUUCCAUUGUUUAACUGCAAAACAAGAUGUUAAGGUAUGCUUCAAAAAUUUUGUAAAUUGUUUAUUUUAAACUUAUCUGUUUGUAAAUUGUAACUGAUUAAGAAUUGUGAUAGUUCAGCUUGAAUGUCUCUUAGAGGGUGGGCUUUUGUUGAUGAGGGAGGGGAAACUUUUUUUUUUUCUAUAGACUUUUUUCAGAUAACAUCUUCUGAGUCAUAACCAGCCUGGCAGUAUGAUGGCCUAGAUGCAGAGAAAACAGCUCCUUGGUGAAUUGAUAAGUAAAGGCAGAAAAGAUUAUAUGUCAUACCUCCAUUGGGGAAUAAGCAUAACCCUGAGAUUCUUACUACUGAUGAGAACAUUAUCUGCAUAUGCCAAAAAAUUUUAAGCAAAUGAAAGCUACCAAUUUAAAGUUACGGAAUCUACCAUUUUAAAGUUAAUUGCUUGUCAAGCUAUAACCACAAAAAUAAUGAAUUGAUGAGAAAUACAAUGAAGAGGCAAUGUCCAUCUCAAAAUACUGCUUUUACAAAAGCAGAAUAAAAGCGAAAAGAAAUGAAAAUGUUACACUACAUUAAUCCUGGAAUAAAAGAAGCCGAAAUAAAUGAGAGAUGAGUUGGGAUCAAGUGGAUUGAGGAGGCUGUGCUGUGUGCCAAUGUUUCGUUUGCCUCAGACAGGUAUCUCUUCGUUAUCAGAAGAGUUGCUUCAUUUCAUCUGGGAGCAGAAAACAGCAGGCAGCUGUUAACAGAUAAGUUUAACUUGCAUCUGCAGUAUUGCAUGUUAGGGAUAAGUGCUUAUUUUUAAGAGCUGUGGAGUUCUUAAAUAUCAACCAUGGCACUUUCUCCUGACCCCUUCCCUAGGGGAUUUCAGGAUUGAGAAAUUUUUCCAUCGAGCCUUUUUAAAAUUGUAGGACUUGUUCCUGUGGGCUUCAGUGAUGGGAUAGUACACUUCACUCAGAGGCAUUUGCAUCUUUAAAUAAUUUCUUAAAAGCCUCUAAAGUGAUCAGUGCCUUGAUGCCAACUAAGGAAAUUUGUUUAGCAUUGAAUCUCUGAAGGCUCUAUGAAAGGAAUAGCAUGAUGUGCUGUUAGAAUCAGAUGUUACUGCUAAAAUUUACAUGUUGUGAUGUAAAUUGUGUAGAAAACCAUUAAAUCAUUCAAAAUAAUAAACUAUUUUUAUUAGAGAAUGUAUACUUUUAGAAAGCUGUCUCCUUAUUUAAAUAAAAUAGUGUUUGUCUGUAGUUCAGUGUUGGGGCAAUCUUGGGGGGGAUUCUUCUCUAAUCUUUCAGAAACUUUGUCUGCGAACACUCUUUAAUGGACCAGAUCAGGAUUUGAGCGGAAGAACGAAUGUAACUUUAAGGCAGGAAAGACAAAUUUUAUUCUUCAUAAAGUGAUGAGCAUAUAAUAAUUCCAGGCACAUGGCAAUAGAGGCCCUCUAAAUAAGGAAUAAAUAACCUCUUAGACAGGUGGGAGAUUAUGAUCAGAGUAAAAGGUAAUUACACAUUUUAUUUCCAGAAAGUCAGGGGUCUAUAAAUUGACAGUGAUUAGAGUAAUACUUUUUCACAUUUCCAAAGUUUGCAUGUUAACUUUAAAUGCUUACAAUCUUAGAGUGGUAGGCAAUGUUUUACACUAUUGACCUUAUAUAGGGAAGGGAGGGGGUGCCUGUGGGGUUUUAAAGAAUUUUCCUUUGCAGAGGCAUUUCAUCCUUCAUGAAGCCAUUCAGGAUUUUGAAUUGCAUAUGAGUGCUUGGCUCUUCCUUCUGUUCUAGUGAGUGUAUGAGACCUUGCAGUGAGUUUAUCAGCAUACUCAAAAUUUUUUUCCUGGAAUUUGGAGGGAUGGGAGGAGGGGGUGGGGCUUACUUGUUGUAGCUUUUUUUUUUUUUACAGACUUCACAGAGAAUGCAGUUGUCUUGACUUCAGGUCUGUCUGUUCUGUUGGCAAGUAAAUGCAGUACUGUUCUGAUCCCGCUGCUAUUAGAAUGCAUUGUGAAACGACUGGAGUAUGAUUAAAAGUUGUGUUCCCCAAUGCUUGGAGUAGUGAUUGUUGAAGGAAAAAAUCCAGCUGAGUGAUAAAGGCUGAGUGUUGAGGAAAUUUCUGCAGUUUUAAGCAGUCGUAUUUGUGAUUGAAGCUGAGUACAUUUUGCUGGUGUAUUUUUAGGUAAAAUGCUUUUUGUUCAUUUCUGGUGGUGGGAGGGGACUGAAGCCUUUAGUCUUUUCCAGAUGCAACCUUAAAAUCAGUGACAAGAAACAUUCCAAACAAGCAACAGUCUUCAAGAAAUUAAACUGGCAAGUGGAAAUGUUUAAACAGUUCAGUGAUCUUUAGUGCAUUGUUUAUGUGUGGGUUUCUCUCUCCCCUCCCUUGGUCUUAAUUCUUACAUGCAGGAACACUCAGCAGACACACGUAUGCGAAGGGCCAGAGAAGCCAGACCCAGUAAGAAAAAAUAGCCUAUUUACUUUAAAUAAACCAAACAUUCCAUUUUAAAUGUGGGGAUUGGGAACCACUAGUUCUUUCAGAUGGUAUUCUUCAGACUAUAGAAGGAGCUUCCAGUUGAAUUCACCAGUGGACAAAAUGAGGAAAACAGGUGAACAAGCUUUUUCUGUAUUUACAUACAAAGUCAGAUCAGUUAUGGGACAAUAGUAUUGAAUAGAUUUCAGCUUUAUGCUGGAGUAACUGGCAUGUGAGCAAACUGUGUUGGCGUGGGGGUGGAGGGGUGAGGUGGGCGCUAAGCCUUUUUUUAAGAUUUUUCAGGUACCCCUCACUAAAGGCACCGAAGGCUUAAAGUAGGACAACCAUGGAGCCUUCCUGUGGCAGGAGAGACAACAAAGCGCUAUUAUCCUAAGGUCAAGAGAAGUGUCAGCCUCACCUGAUUUUUAUUAGUAAUGAGGACUUGCCUCAACUCCCUCUUUCUGGAGUGAAGCAUCCGAAGGAAUGCUUGAAGUACCCCUGGGCUUCUCUUAACAUUUAAGCAAGCUGUUUUUAUAGCAGCUCUUAAUAAUAAAGCCCAAAUCUCAAGCGGUGCUUGAAGGGGAGGGAAAGGGGGAAAGCGGGCAACCACUUUUCCCUAGCUUUUCCAGAAGCCUGUUAAAAGCAAGGUCUCCCCACAAGCAACUUCUCUGCCACAUCGCCACCCCGUGCCUUUUGAUCUAGCACAGACCCUUCACCCCUCACCUCGAUGCAGCCAGUAGCUUGGAUCCUUGUGGGCAUGAUCCAUAAUCGGUUUCAAGGUAACGAUGGUGUCGAGGUCUUUGGUGGGUUGAACUAUGUUAGAAAAGGCCAUUAAUUUGCCUGCAAAUUGUUAACAGAAGGGUAUUAAAACCACAGCUAAGUAGCUCUAUUAUAAUACUUAUCCAGUGACUAAAACCAACUUAAACCAGUAAGUGGAGAAAUAACAUGUUCAAGAACUGUAAUGCUGGGUGGGAACAUGUAACUUGUAGACUGGAGAAGAUAGGCAUUUGAGUGGCUGAGAGGGCUUUUGGGUGGGAAUGCAAAAAUUCUCUGCUAAGACUUUUUCAGGUGAACAUAACAGACUUGGCCAAGCUAGCAUCUUAGCGGAAGCUGAUCUCCAAUGCUCUUCAGUAGGGUCAUGAAGGUUUUUCUUUUCCUGAGAAAACAACACGUAUUGUUUUCUCAGGUUUUGCUUUUUGGCCUUUUUCUAGCUUAAAAAAAAAAAAAGCAAAAGAUGCUGGUGGUUGGCACUCCUGGUUUCCAGGACGGGGUUCAAAUCCCUGCGGCGUCUUUGCUUUGACUACUAAUCUGUCUUCAGGACUCUUUCUGUAUUUCUCCUUUUCUCUGCAGGUGCUAGUUCUUGGAGUUUUGGGGAGGUGGGAGGUAACAGCACAAUAUCUUUGAACUAUAUACAUCCUUGAUGUAUAAUUUGUCAGGAGCUUGACUUGAUUGUAUAUUCAUAUUUACACGAGAACCUAAUAUAACUGCCUUGUCUUUUUCAGGUAAUAGCCUGCAGCUGGUGUUUUGAGAAGCCCUACUGCUGAAAACUUAACAAUUUUGUGUAAUAAAAAUGGAGAAGCUCUAA
rnacentral:lncRNA from 1 species